rnacentral:rRNA from 1 species
GCAUAUCAUUAGCGGGAGGAAAGAAACACAGGAUUGCCCUAGUAACGGCGAGUGAAGCGGCAACAGCUCAAAUUUGAAAUCUGGCUCUCGGGCCCGAGUUGUAAUUUGUAGAGGAUGACUUUGAUGCGGUGCCUUCCGAGUUCCCUGGAACGGGACGCCAUAGAGGGUGAGAGCCCCGUCUGGUUGGAUGCCAAAUCUCUGUAAGUCUCCUUUCGACGAGUCGAGUAGUUUGGGAAUGCUGCUCUAAAUGGGAGGUAUAUGUCUUCUAAAGCUAAAUACCGGCCAGAGACCGAUAGCGCACAAGUAGAGUGAUCGAAAGAUGAAAAGCACUUUGAAAAGAGAGUUAAAAAGUACGUGAAAUUGUUGAAAGGGAAGCGUUUAUGACCAGACUUGGGCUUGGUUAAUCAUCUGGGGUUCUCCCCAGUGCACUUUUCCAGUUCAGGCCAGCAUCAGUUUUCGCCGGGGGAUAAAGACUUCGGGAAUGUGGCUCCUCUCGGGGAGUGUUAUAGCCCGUUGUGUAAUACCCUGGCGGGGACUGAGGUUCGCGCUUCUGCAAGGAUGCUGGCGUAAUGGUCAUCAACGACCCGUCUUGAAACACGGACCAAGGAGUCGUCUUCGUAUGCGAGUGUUCGGGUGUCAAACCCCUACGCGUAAUGAAAGUGAACGCAGGUGAGAGCUUCGGCGCAUCAUCGACCGAUCCUGAUGUUCUCGGAUGGAUUUGAGUAAGAGCAUACGGGGCCGGACCCGAAAGAAGGUGAACUAUGCCUGUGUAGGGUGAAGCCAGAGGAAACUCUGGUGGAGGCUCCGCAGCGGUUCUUGACGUGCAAAUCGAUCGUCAAACAUGGGCAUGGGGGCGAAAAGACNNAUCGAACUUCCUAGUAGCUGAUUCGACGAG